rnacentral:rRNA from 1 species
UACGUAGGGGGCAAGCGUUGUCCGGAUUUAUUGGGCGUAAAGAGCGUGUAGGCGGUCCUGUAAGUCCGCUGUGAAAGUCGGGGGCUCAACCCUCGAAUGCCGGUGGAUACUGUCGGGCUAGAGUGCGGAAGAGGCGAGUGGAAUUCCUGGUGUAGCGGUGAAAUGCGCAGAUAUCAGGAGGAACACCUAUUGCGAAGGCAGCUCGCUGGGACGUAACUGACGCUGAGACGCGAAAGCGUGGGGAGCAAACAGG